GGUCAGCCUUGGAAACGAGGUCUAAUACCAAAUACCUUCCUUUUAACACAUGUUAAAAAGAGAAAUGCUCGGCACUUUGGGAUGGUCUCGCGAUCUAUCAGCUUGUUGGUGAGGUAAACGGCUCACCAAAGGCAUCGACGGAUAGCUGGUCUGAGAGGAUGUCCAGCCACAUUGGAACUGAGACACGGUCCAAACUCCUACGGGAGGCAGCAGUAGGGAAUCUUGCACAAUGAGGGAAACCUUGAUGCAGCGACGCCGCGUGCGGGACGAAGGCCCUAGGGUUGUAAACCGCUUUCAGUAGGGACGAAAGUGACGGUACCUACAGAAGAAGCCCCGGCCAACUAUGUG
rnacentral:rRNA from 1 species